GGAAUCUUGCACAAUGGAGGAAACUCUGAUGCAGCGACGCCGCGUUAGCGAAGAAGCCUUUCGGGGUGUAAAGCUCUUACGCCAGGGACGAUAAUGACGGUACCUGGAGAAACAGCGGCGGCUAACUACGUGCCAGCAGCCGCGGUAAUACGUAGGCAGCAAGCGUUGUUCGGAAUUACUGGGCGUAAAGGGUGCGUAGGCGGUGAUCUAAGUUUGGUGUGAAAUCUCCCGGCUCAACGGGGAGGGUGCGCCGAAAACUGGGUCACUCGAGUGUGGGAGAGGAAAGCGGAAUUCCUGGUGUAGCGGUGAAAUGCGUAGAGAUCAGGAGGAACACCUGCGGUGUAGACGGCUUUCUGGACCAUAACUGACGCUGAGGCACGAAAGCGUGGGUAGCAAAC
rnacentral:rRNA from 1 species